rnacentral:rRNA from 1 species
UACGAAGGGGGCUAGCGUUGCUCGGAAUCACUGGGCGUAAAGGGUGCGUAGGCGGGUUUUUAAGUCAGGGGUGAAAUCCUGGAGCUCAACUCCAGAACUGCCUUUGAUACUGAAGAUCUUGAGUCCGGGAGAGGUGAGUGGAAUUCCUAGUGUAGAGGUGAAAUUCGUAGAUAUUAGGAAGAACACCAGUGGCGAAGGCGGCUCACUGGCCCGGUACUGACGCUGAGGGAGCGAAAAGCGUGGGGAGCGAACAGG